GAUGAACGCUGGCGGCGUGCCUAAUACAUGCAAGUCGAGCGAACGGACGAGAAGCUUGCUUCUCUGAUGUUAGCGGCGGACGGGUGAGUAACACGUGGAUAACCUACCUAUAAGACUGGGAUAACUUCGGGAAACCGGAGCUAAUACCGGAUAAUAUUUUGAACCGCAUGGUUCAAAAGUGAAAGACGGUCUUGCUGUCACUUAUAGAUGGAUCCGCGCUGCAUUAGCUAGUUGGUAAGGUAACGGCUUACCAAGGCAACGAUGCAUAGCCGACCUGAGAGGGUGAUCGGCCACACUGGAACUGAGACACGGUCCAGACUCCUACGGGAGGCAGCAGUAGGGAAUCUACCGCAAUGGGCGAAAGCCUGACGGAGCAACGCCGCGUGAGUGAUGAAGGUCUUCGAAUCGUAAAACUCUGUUAUUAGGGAAGAACAUAUGUGUAAGUAACUGUGCACAUCUUGACGGUACCUAAUCAGAAAGCCACGGCUAACUACGUG
rnacentral:rRNA from 1 species